CCCUUGCUGUUUACUUGCUGUUGGUCCCUAUUCACGCCAUAAAUAGUAUCAGUCUCGUAAAAAUAACUUUAAAAAAGAACAAAAUCAUAACUUUAUGACAACAACAUAAAAUAAAUUUACCUCACAGGCGCGCUAAAGCUAACCAGCCGAAGGAAGCGUUUCAGGGCUAUUUAGCUACAGGCUUCGUUGAGCACCAAACAACUGGGCAGUAGGUAUCCCACCAGGUAAUGGUAAACACAGCUUAAACUGGAAGGACUGUAAGGAAAAGUCAAGAGAAAGGUGAGGAAAACCGUAUGAAGUAAGAGGAGGGAAGAUUGGAGAAGUAUUGAAGAGCAUUGAAAGAAGAGUGAUGGUCAAAACAUUGUUGACACUGAAAACAAUGAAGGGAAAAAAAACACUGGCAAGUUUACAGUCAAACAGUAAAAACAUUACUACUGCUAAUUAGUCUUUUUAAGUUACUUAUAUUAUUAAUGUAAAUGCGACAUCUAGUGUACAACCAGUGCACUGGUGAUUUAGAAUCAACACGUUUGCACAUUUUGGGUUAAAGGCUUAAAUAGACUUGAUUGAGUAGUAAUAUGGUUGGGCAUUAGAAGCUUACCUAUUGCGACAAACUUGGCUUUUGAUGAAAGAUCGAAGUAUCAGUUCUGUGCAUUCUCACAAUGUGUUGGAAAAUGUAAAAUAUCUGUAGCGACUAUUAGAUUAUCAUACACAUGCAUUACAACUGUACAUUACCAAAGAAAGUCAAUUACUUACAUGAGUUUUACUCCCAAGCCCAGUACCAGGUUACUUUAUUUUCAGCAUCGGGUGUAAAAACAA